UACGGGGGGAGCAAGCGUUGUUCGGAUUUACUGGGCGUAAAGGGCGCGUAGGCGGUCGUGACAAGUCACUUGUGAAAUCUCCGGGCUUAACUCGGAACGGUCAAGUGAUACUGUCGGACUAGAGUACAGAAGGGGCAACUGGAAUUCUCGGUGUAGUGGUGAAAUGCGUAGAUAUCGAGAGGAACACCUGCGGCGAAGGCGGGUUGCUGGGCUGAUACUGACGCUGAGGCGCGAAAGCCAGGGGAGCGAACGGG
rnacentral:rRNA from 1 species